CCCCGCCAAACCACGUGGGUGCCGCUCCGCUCCGCCUCCGACCGGGAACGAAUUGGGAGCUCCCUUCGCUCGUUCCGCUCCCGAAGGCAACGCCGCCGCAGCCGCCGCUUCCACACGGCGCUGGCGCCAUCGAGUUCGACGGCGGUGGGUGGAUCCAGGGUUAGAGUUGAUUUUCACCACGGGCUCCCACGCCGUCCUCGAGUCAUACGGUGUCCGUUCUCCAUCUCUCUACGGCAAUUCCCCACCCCACCACUCGAGCAACUUCUCGCAUCUUGUCUCCAUAUCGGUGCCAGAUCGAUCUCAGUGGGGAGGCUAAUGCAGAGAUGGACCAGAUUGGAAGGUCUAUCUGUUGGGUACUGAUGGUCUUCACUGUUUUGCCAUCGUAGUUUUUCGAGUCUUUUAUGGAUGAUGAGAUUAGAUCAGAUUGGAAGGCCUAUCUUUUUUUUUCCGUCACUAGUCUAUUUUUUAGACUAUUAAUGUAUUAAUUUUGCAUACAUGUGUCAAUAUGUGUAUACAGAACCCUAUCUGUAAAAUAUAUGUGCAGUU